AGUGAACGCUGGCGGUAGGCCUAACACAUGCAAGUCGAACGGCAGCACAGUAAGAGCUUGCUCUUACGGGUGGCGAGUGGCGGACGGGUGAGGAAUACAUCGGAAUCUACUUUUUCGUGGGGGAUAACGUAGGGAAACUUACGCUAAUACCGCAUACGACCUACGGGUGAAAUCAGGGGAUCUUCGGACCUUGCGCGAUUGAAUGAGCCGAUGUCGGAUUAGCUAGUUGGCGGGGUAAAGGCCCACCAAGGCGACGCUCCGUAGCUGGUCUGAGAGGAUGAUCAGCCACACGGGAACUGAGACACGGUCCAGACUCCUACGGGAGGCAGCAGUGGGGAAUAUUGGACAAUGGGCGCAAGCCUGAUCCAGCCAUACCGCGUGGGUGAAGAAGGCCUUCGGGUUGUAAAGCCCUUUUGUUGGGAAAGAAAAGCAGCAGGUUAAUACCCCGCUGUUCUGACGGUACCCAAAGAAUAAGCACCGGCUAACUUCGUG
rnacentral:rRNA from 1 species